GUGCUUGCUUUGGCAGCACAUAUACUAAAAUAGGAAUGAUACAGAGAAGAUCAGCACGGCCCCUUGUGCAAGAAUGACACGCAAAUUCAUGAAGCGUUCCAUAUUUUU
ensembl:snRNA U6 U6 spliceosomal RNA